AGAAGGGAAGAGAGAGAAUGAGAAAAAGAGAGAAAAAAUGAAUUCUUCCAAGUCAUCUGGAUCACAAUGCACAGAGCGGAGAUGCUGGUCUUCCCAGGGGUUCUUAUGGACUGUUGCUGGGGUCUCCAUCCUGCUUCUCAGCGCCUGUUUUAUCACUAGAGUUGUUGUGACAUAUCACAUCUUUCAAAGCUGUGAUGAGAAAAAGUUCCAACCACAUGAGAAUUUCAUGGAGCUUUCCUGCUACAAUGACGGAGCAGGUUCAGUGAAGAGUUGCUGUCCAUUGAACUGGGAACACUUUCAAUCUAGCUGCUACUUCUUUUCUACUAACACCUUGACAUGGGCGUCAAGUCUAAGGAACUGCUCAGACAUGGGGGCUCACCUGGUGGUUAUCAACACGCGGGAGGAGCAGGUAGCAGGCGCACGGGCUCCUCCAGCGCCGGUGCAGCCUUCUUCACAGGGCCCAGCCCUUUUCCAUGCGUUUGCACAGUGUUGGACCUUUAAUGGCUGUUUGUUGAAUGAAUGUACUGGAAUGCGUACUGUUCCUACUAUUUCUGUCAGUCACUACCUACUUUAUUUUUAUUACUAGGAAAUCCUAAGAAAGAGGGAAUUUCCCUGUGGAAUUCCUUUAUUAGUUAAACUGGGGCAGGGGACUGUUGGAGAUUAGUUUUAGUUCUAAAAUUUCCAUUAUGUUUAUGAACAUAUCAUAUGAAACAAAGCGAGCAAAUAUUGUCCAUUAUCUUUCAACUGUGAUUAAUAAUGUUUGUUCUAAAUAUAUGCAAUGGAUUUGGCAGCCAAUAACAGUAAACUCUGAAUGAGUUAUCAGGAAUCUCCUUCUCUGUUGAGGGUUAUUUUUUGUCAGUUUAAUUUUAUGUUGUGUAUAUUUUGCCACAAUAAAAAAUAAAUCUGUAGAUAGUCCUCAUAAUCUUACAUCUUCAGGCCCAUUUAUCUAUUAUCUCUAGUCUAGAUCCUAUUUUACCUCUCUUAAUAACAAUUACCUUCAACAUUUGCACAGAGCUGAUAUAAUUGAUUUUCUAUUUUUUUUUUAUUGUGUAUCUUCCAUAGGAAUUUCUUUUCCACAAGAAACCUAGAAAGAGAGAGUUUUAUAUUGGACUGACGGACCAGCUUCUGGGACGCAGGAGAGCCCAACAACUUAGCUACUGUGGAGGACUGUGCCACCAUACGAGACUCUUCAAAUCCAAGGCAAAACU